rnacentral:rRNA from 1 species
GACGAACGCUGGCGGCGUGCUUAACACAUGCAAGUCGAACGGAAAGGCCCCUUUGGGGGUCCUCGAGUGGCGAACGGGUGCGUAACACGUGAGUAACCUGCCCUUGACUUCGGGAUAACUUCAGGAAACUGGGGCUAAUACCGGAUAGGAAUCCUUGCUGCAUGGUGGGGGUUGGAAAGCUUCGGCGGUUUUGGAUGGACUCGCGGCUUAUCAGCUUGUUGGUGGGGUAGUGGCUUACCAAGGCUUUGACGGGUAGCCGGCCUGAGAGGGCGACCGGCCACAUUGGGACUGAGAUACGGCCCAGACUCCUACGGGAGGCAGCAGGGGGGAAUAUUGCACAAUGGGCGGAAGCCUGAUGCAGCAACGCCGCGUGCGGGAUGACGGCCUUCGGGUUGUAAACCGAUUUCAGCAGGGGCGAAGCUUGUGGUGACGGUACCUGCAGAAGAAGCACCGGCUAACUACGUG